rnacentral:rRNA from 1 species
UAGGGAAUCUUCGGCAAUGGGGGCAACCCUGACCGAGCAACGCCGCGUGAGUGAAGAAGGUUUUCGGAUCGUAAAGCUCUGUUGUAAGAGAAGAACGUGUGUGAGAGUGGAAAGUUCACACAGUGAUGGUAACUUACCAGAAAGGGACGGCUAACUACGUGCCAGCAGCCGCGGUAAUACGUAGGUCCCGAGCGUUGUCCGGAUUUAUUGGGCGUAAAGCGAGCGCAGGCGGUUUAAUAAGUCUGAAGUUAAAGGCAGUGGCUUAACCAUUGUUCGCUUUGGAAACUGUUAAACUUGAGUGCAGAAGGGGAGAGUGGAAUUCCAUGUGUAGUGGUGAAAUGCGUAGAUAUAUGGAGGAACACCGGUGGCGAAAGCGGCUCUCUGGUCUGUAACUGACGCUGAGGCUCGAAAGCGUAGGGAGCAAACAGG